rnacentral:lncRNA from 10 species
CUUCCAGCCGGGCGGCCGCCGUCACACUGCAGAGCGUAUUUAAAGAGACACCUCGCUCCGCGCUCGCUCCCCAGCACCAGACCCUCGCCCGAAAACGCCGCCGGGCGGACUGCACGACCCUGUGUUAUUCCCAAAGACAAUCUCCAUCCGUGGAGAAGCUGCAGGAACAGAAAUAUACACAAGAAAAUGGAUUUGGAAGGAAUUUUCCAUCCUUUAUUUAACAUUCUCAAGUCCAGAUAUGCCAGAACCGAGGUGCACCUGUCGUGAACCCGUCUGAGUUUGCAGGUUAGACCCCACUUGCGGUUGUGUGUUCCAGAAGUCUCCGGGCGCUGUGUGGCAGGAUGAGGAGCUGCCCCCCUGGAGGAUCACGCAGGCCUCUGGGUGGCAUUCAGCAGGGUUGGCUGCGGCACCGGCUGACCACAGGGCCCACCUUUCCAGUCCCGGCAGGAGAGAAGCGUCUCAACCAUGUUGCAGGCACACGGGUGAGGGUGCUGCCUGCCUCCCUGACUCUUACCUCCCCAAGAGAGGAAAACAAAAGAAAAAAAGAUAAGACCAGGAAAUGGAAAUAAGACAAAGAAGAAUGAAAUUUUAAAAUCCGAACAAACCCAAACAUGCUGUUUCAAAACGUAAGUCCAUGAAGAGUCUCGUGGUGAGAAAGACAGAAUUCCUAGCCAGGAAAAUGCCCCGUGCUUGCCCCUUGGAGGCAGGUGCUCACCACGGCAGGGUCUAUCUAGGUGUUUAUUAAGGUGUCUCACCACGUAUCGCCCGGAUUCACCAGAGAUGCAGAGGCGGAGGAUACGUUCCUGUUUACAUUGAUACAUAGUUACAUAGGUGAAGAGCUUUACAGUGAGGAAGCGGCUCACGCGGCCAUGAGGGACCCAGGCAGGAGCUGCUGUUGCUGCCCCAGGUGCGCAACUCCACGAGUGCUCGAUGGGAAACUGCAGACAGCAGCCUUGCCAAGCGGAUGCCCAGGGCCGACCACCGCAGCCCCUCCAGCCACGUUCUCCAUCAGGGCAGCCUCCUGCUGGCUUCGGCACUGCAGGUAGCACACCAGCGAGGGGUGGGCCUGUGUGCCACGAAGCGUCAUCCAUGGACGUGCCACGAAGGGUUAUUCUUCUUUUGACUUUUUCUGAUGGUUUAAAACUGUAAGAACACACAGCUCACAGUCCACACGGAAGCAGGCAUGUGGCUCCUGCCUCACUGUGGGAGGAAAGAUGUUCUCAAAAGAAAUGGCUGGGUUUGCGGAGGGGUUUGUGGAGGGCCGGGCAGUCUGAACACAGCCCAGCUGGCCUUGGUGGAGGUGGGCCUGGCACAGGGGGGUGGGAGCAGUUCUUCCUGACGCAAAUCCUAACGCCUUCAACACUGACCUUCCAAAGAAACAGCUGCUGGACGCCGCCCGACAGCAACGAGAGCCCCACUCCUGAGGCGCGCGACUCUCGAGGGCUUUGUUGUUUAUUUGGCACCCGAGGCCCAGGCUCACAGGGUCUCGGGUGCAUGGGACCCCCCAGCCCUUCCCACUGCUCUGCGAUUCUUCCUCCCUUCUGGAAAGGUCAGUUUGGGGUUCUAUUCUGGGAGGGGCCAGGCCGCCACCUGGCCUCAUUAACUGGGCAGGCCACUGGGACCUCCUCCGAAAUGCUGGGGCCAUGGCCGAAGACUUGCCUCCCGCCAGGAGCCUUCAGCCCUCUUAGUAGUGGAUGUGGGCUUCCUCCCUCUGAGGGGACGUCCUGAUGGACACGAGAUGUGGGGCGCCCGUGGGUGGCCGCCUGCUCCUGCCACAGUCCCCCUUGGGGCCUGAGCUGCGGCUGCUGCCUCCGUAGGGAAGGAACAAUGGGGGAUGGGCCCGCCCCUACCCAGAGAGAGUGGGCCGUGUUGCCUGCAAGGCCUCAGCCAGGGGACCACGUUUCUCUGCAUCUUGUGGCUUUGGGUUCUGCAGGCUGUUUGUGGGAGAACGGGAAACAGUCCCAGAGAUGACGCUGCCUCAUGCAGGUUAACAGAGUUGGAGGUCAGGCCGACGCCUGAGGCUCAGGACGCUGAUGGGUGCCUUCCCUCGCCAGGGGUGAGCCCCCAGCCCCGUCUUCCCUCGCCAGGGUGAGCCCCUCCCCAGCCCCGAGUUUGGAGGGGCCGUGGCUGCCGGGGACUCGCGUGAGGAGCUUGCUGUAAAUACGGAGCUCUGGAGCAACAGUGGCCUCACGCCACUGGCAUCUCGGGCAGGACCUGCCUCUUUUUGGAACACUUUCGAGAUCUUUGCGUUUGUUCGUUUCCAGCCAUUUGGUGGAGACUCUGAGAGCCUGAACUUAGAAGCCCGCCGAGAGGGGAAAUGGCGGCCUCCGGGGAGCGGGCAGCCUGGCCGCAGAGCGCGCGGGACCCAGGGCCACCGUCCUCCCGAGACAGCGGCAGCAGCCGCCACUCACCGUGCGGAAUUAAAAACGGCUCUCUGGUUGCCACGGCAACCAGCCGUCUCCCCCCAGCGUCAGUUUGAAUUUGUGCAGACCAUUCCUAGCCAAGAUUCAAGCCAACAGAUUCGUGCUUACCCUGAGGUGAAGCCUCGUUUGAGAACCAAAUAAUAAAAUUAACAAACCUAAAAUCUCCUCACUGCUGCCGCCUCUUUAAUAAGCACUCAGCAGAGCCCCCGAGAGGACACAGGGCCAGCACAGUCUCCCUCCUCUGAGGCGGGAGGCCCCCGGGG